GGCCGCGCGCUCCUUCGGGUGCAUAAGGCCGCGGGCGCGCUCACGCUUCCAGCGCGGGUUGAUGUCACAUGACAGGGCGAACUGUCGGCUCCGAGCAGUGAAAGUGUGAACCGGAAAACGCGGGAGGUGUUUUUGGUCAGUGAGUGAGAUAAUGCUAGACAUGCUGAGUUACUCCAGCUUUUUGUGGGCGGAUGCAGGUGUGAGGGGGUUUUGAUAGGCAGAUGUUUGGACAGCCAGAGAUGAAAAAACAAAAUAUGUCAGAUAAGGAUAGAAGAAAUGGGAAUUUUGCCCAACCAAUCAAGAUUCUGCUGCAAUCCUGCUACCCUCAAGCUCUGUGCGGAACAACUGGCACCAGUCUACACAGACAUUUUCAAUCAGUCCCUGCAAACCUGCACUGUCCCCGCCAGUCUCCACUAUUGUUCCUGUACCCAAAAAGCCAAGGAUUACUGGUCUUAAUAACUACAGGUCUGUCGCACUGACCUCUAUAAUCAUGAAGACCCUUGAAAGACUUGUGCUGGCCCACCUGAAAAAUAUCACAAACCCCCUGCAGUUUGCAUACCGGGCCAAUAUUUGAAGCAGUCAACCUAGGCCUGCACUUCAUCCUCCUGAUGAGGUGCUGAGACCACUAGAGGACCUAUGCAAGGAUUUUGUUCGUGGAUUUUAACUCUGCAUUCAACACCAUUGUGCCAGAGGUACUACACUCCAAACUCUCACAGUUGACUGUGCCUCUGAACCCCUCUGUCAGUGGAUCACCAACUUCCUGACAGACAGGCUGGGAAAGCACAUCUCAGACCCGCUGACCCUCAGCAUAGGAGCACCACAAGGCUGCGUACUCUCCCCUCUCCUUAACUCUACACCAAACGGCUGCACCUCCACAGACUUCUCUGUCAAGCAUCUCAUGUUUGUGAAUGACACAACCCUGAUUGGACUGAUCCAGGAUGAGGAGGAAUCUGUCUACAGACAGGAAGUGAUACAGCUGGCGUCCUGAUGCCAUCGCAACAACCUGGAGCUCAAUGCUCUUAAGACAAUUGAAUUAACUGUAGACUUUAGGAGAGCUCCCCCUCCCCUCCCCUCACGCACCAUCAAUAACAUCCCAGUCACAUCUAUGGAGUAAUUUAAGUUCCUUGGAACCAUCAUCUCCAGGGACCUUAAAUGGGAGGCCACCAUCGACUCCACAGUCAAAAAGGCCCAACAGAGGAUGUACUUCCUGCGGCACCUGAGAAAACAAUCUUCCACAGGCAAUGAUGGUCCAGUUUUAUACUGCCAUCAUAGAGUCUGUCCUCACCUUCUCCAUCAUGGUCUGGUUUGGCUCAGCUACCAAGCAUGACACCCAGAGUCUGCAGCGCAUCGUUCGAUCAGCCGAGAAUGUUGUGGCUGCAACCUUCCCCUCAUCGAUGAACUGUACACUGCAAGGGCCAGAAAGUGAGCGGGUAAGAUCAUCUCUGACCCCACACAUGCUGGCCACAAAAACUGAAGCAUUUCCCUCUGGAAGGCGACUCCGGACAGUCAAAACCGCCACAGCCAGAUAUAAAAACUUUUUUUUCCAUGCAGUAGCUCUAUUCAACAGCGAAAAAGUCUAGCCUCUUGCUCUGGUAUUUUAUUUUAUUUUUCACAUGUUUAAAUUAUAAUAUUUUAUUUUUAAUUGUCUACUGUAUAUCGUGUUAUCCUUGCGAGCAAAGCACCAAGGCAAAUUCCUUGUAUGUAUUCUUGUCUAAUAAAAUGUAUUCAAUUC